GCUGUAGUUUAGCAGUAGAGCAUCUACUUUGCAUGCAGAAGGUUGCAAGUUCAAUCCUUGGCUCCUCCA
rnacentral:tRNA from 1 species